rnacentral:rRNA from 1 species
CCUACGGGAGGCAGCAGUGAGGAAUAUUGGUCAAUGGACGAGAGUCUGAACCAGCCAAGCAGCGUGAAGGAGGACUGCCCUAUGGGUUGUAAACUUCUUUUAUAUGGGAAUAAAAUGUUCCACGCGUCGGUGGUUGUAUGUACCAUAUGAAUAAGGAUCGGCUAACUCCGUGCCAGCAGCCGCGGUAAUACGGAGGAUCCGAGCGUUAUCCGGAUUUAUUGGGUUUAAAGGGAGCGUAGGUGGAUUGUUAAGUCAGUUGUGAAAGUCUGCGGCUUAACCGUAGAAUUGCAGUUGAAACUGGCAGUCUUGAGUACAGUAGAGGUAGGCGGAAUGCGUGGUGUAGCGGUGAAAUGCUUAGAUAUCACGAAGAACUCCGAUUGCGAAGGCAGCUUACUGGACUGCAACUGACGCUGAGGCACGAAAGUGUGGGUAGCAAACAGGAUUAGAUACCCGAGUAGUC